rnacentral:rRNA from 1 species
AUACAACUUUCAGCAACGGAUCUCUUGGCUCUCGCAUCGAUGAAGAACGCAGCGAAAUGCGAUAAGUAAUGUGAAUUGCAGAAUUCAGUGAAUCAUCGAAUCUUUGAACGCACCUUGCGCUCCUUGGUAUUCCGAGGAGCAUGCGUGUUUGAGUGUCAU